rnacentral:lncRNA from 1 species
GGGUCCCGAGAGUGCUGGGCAGUGCCUCAGACUGCCUUGGUCAGAGCUGGGGGCCAUGGAAGCCAGGCUCCAAGUGGAGGGAAGCCAGGGGAGAAGACUGAACUCAUCAUUCAGGUGACUGUGGAACAGCCCUAGGGCCCUCCGAGUUGGCUCCCUCCAAGAUGCCACUAACUCUGGCUCCACCAAAGAAUCUACCUCACUUGUCCCUGUCACCCGGAGUCAGGAAAAGAACCAAAGGUCCCUCAGCCCCUCUCCGGGGAGGGGCAGGCCUGACCAUAGGGAGAGAGAAGUGGGUGUGGUUUCUCUGUUCCUCCCUCUUUCUCAAGAAAUGGGGAAAUCCCUAUACUUAUCCCCAACACACCAAAUAACUUCAAAGGAAACCAAGCUCAGCUGGGAGUUAGCCCCAACCCCGGCACUCCUGCCUCAUAACCCCAUCCAAUAUAUCCUCUUGAUCCAAACAUGAACCUACCCAAAGAUAAACAGCUUUAAGGAUUCCCCCCAAAGGGGGGAGGCAGGGCCAGGGGCUCUGCCUAUCACCUCCAUCUCAUAACCAGGAUCUCUAGUCUGAAAUGUCAGUUUCUGUCUCCUCAUGGCCAAGCUGAGGUCUGACCCAGGGACAGGCAACCUGCAUUCCUUGUGGUCUGAGUGUGCAGGUGGGCAAAGGGGAUGCUGAGUUCCUUGUCCCCUUGCCCCCAAACCCUAAGAGUUCUGAACAUUCGAGCUCCCAUGAGCCGCUUCUCUGAGCAACCAAAUACCCAUCUCCCCAUUCCCAGAUCCAAAGCAUCGGCCCCUCUUCAGGGGCAUCCCUCCCCAUUUGAUUUCUAUUUUUGAAAGGAGAGAUAGUUUGAUUUGGGGUUUUGAUGGCCUUGAAUCCCUUGUAGAAUGAGCACAGAGGCUGUGGAGCACCCCACCCAUAUAUUUCCAAUUCUAGUGUCCAAAGAGCGCCUCUUCCCCACUCCUCCCUCUGCCAGCCUACGGCACCCAGGGCCCCACUGUCCCUCCUCAUCCAGCUCUACCAUACCCUAAAGCCAAAGCCUCAGGCUCUCCUUCUAUCAGCCUCUCCCUCUAGAGCUGUACAGUAUUGUGCCAAAAAGUGGGGAGGGUCUUGGAGGAAGAAAAACCUAGGGCUUAGGGGACCCCAAACAUUGUCUCCUCUGUGCUCUUGUAGAGUGUUGCUAGUACCAAUGACAAGAUUCCAGCAAGGCUGGGCCCUGCCCCUCCACAACUGCUCCUUCUGCAUGAGGGGCAAAAACAGCUUUAACUAAGACAUGUGGCAG